rnacentral:lncRNA from 10 species
AAUCAACAUGACUAGUAUUCCCCAAAUUGGGUUAACAACAUCUAAAACCACCAGGGCUAGAGCAAUGUAUCUUAGGCUCACUUAAGGAAGCUGUAGAGAUGAGCCCAAGGAGGGAAACCAGAAGAGCCCCCCAGGCUCACCAGUUGUUUGUUGGCUCCCUACAAACAUGUCAUUCAAGUGGCUAAUCUUACAACAGCACAAAUUCAUCUAACCAGCAGAAAGAGAAGAGGAGGCUCCAAAGGCACUUGACUACUGAGCAUCACCCUGGACGUGUACAAGUCUGCGUCCUUAUUGUUUUCUUCAUUGGGCCGAACUUUCUGGUCCUCAUCCAACAGCUCUUCUAUCACGUGUUCGAAAGUGUCAGCCAAUGAUGUCAAGCCUCUUGAACCUGCCUUGGGCCCAUUCACGCUCUCCAGAGUCCCAUGGGUCCGCACACCUGGAGAUACUCUAUUAUAGCAAAGAAGAAAGAUAAUUUCAUUGAGCCAUCCUGUUUUACAGGAAAUUCUGCAAGUGGCAACGUGGGUCCAUUCCGUGUGUGUCACUAGAGCUGGCGCAAGCCCAUGGCCAUGGUGAGGCAGCGUUUCCACUGGAACUAAUCUGAUACCUGCACCAGCUCUUGCAACUGUGCAGUGUUCCCACUGCAAACUACGGAUGGGGUAAAAGACUGCUCACCUCCUAUUUCUCAUCUAAUCUCACACACUCUGUUUGAUGAGGCUAUGGAGAAACAGGUCUUCUCAUACACUAAAGGUGGGAGUACAAACAAUUCAAGCCCUGUGCAGGACAAUUAGGCAAUACCUAUCAAAAUUAUACAUGAUUUUUCCUGCUGACCCAGCAAUUCCACUUCUGGGAAUAAUUGACAGAUAUAGGUGCAUAUGUACAAAAUGAUGGAAAGCUCUCUGGUAUAUAUUAGUAAGUGAUAAAACAAGGUGUAAAAUAGUGUAUAUAUGGCUACUACCUUUUGUUUUAAAAAUGGGGGAAAAUGGUGGAGCUUGCGGUGAGCCGAGAUCGUGCCACUGCACUCCAGCCUGGGCGACAGAGCGAGACUCCGUCUCAAAAAAAAAACAGGGUGGGGUGGGGGGGAAAUAAUAGUACAUACUCAUAUUUACCUGUAUCUAUAUAAAACACACUAUCAAGGAUUCACAAGAAACUAAUACAAAUGAUCACCUUAUAGAUGGUAUGUAUUGGGGGAUACUGAGGUGAGCAGGGUAUAAGUGGG